rnacentral:rRNA from 1 species
GAGUUUGAUCCUGGCUCAGAUUGAACGCUGGCGGCAGGCCUAACACAUGCAAGUCGAACGGUAACAGGAAGUGCUUGCACUUCGCUGACGAGUGGCGGACGGGUGAGUAAUGCUUGGGAACUUGCCUUUGCGAGGGGGAUAACAGUUGGAAACGACUGCUAAUACCGCAUAAUGUCUUCGGACCAAACGGGGCUUCGGCUCCGGCGCAAAGAGAGGCCCAAGUGAGAUUAGCUAGUUGGUGAGGUAAAGGCUCACCAAGGCGACGAUCUCUAGCUGUUCUGAGAGGAAGAUCAGCCACACUGGGACUGAGACACGGCCCAGACUCCUACGGGAGGCAGCAGUGGGGAAUAUUGCACAAUGGGGGAAACCCCGAUGCAGCCAUGCCGCGUGUGUGAAGAAGGCCUUCGGGUUGUAAAGCACUUUCAGUUGUGAGGAAAGGUUGGUAGUUAAUACCUGCCAGCUGUGACGUUAACAACAGAAGAAGCACCGGCUAACUCCGUGCCAGCAGCCGCGGUAAUACGGAGGGUGCGAGCGUUAAUCGGAAUUACUGGGCGUAAAGCGCACGCAGGCGGUUUGUUAAGCUAGAUGUGAAAGCCCCGGGCUCAACCUGGGAUGGUCAUUUAGAACUGGCAGACUANAGUCUUGGAGAGGGGAGUGGAAUUCCAGGUGUAGCGGUGAAAUGCGUAGAUAUCUGGAGGAACAUCANUGGCGAAGGCGACUCCCUGGCCAAAGACUGACGCUCAUGUGCGAAAGUGUGGGUAGCGAACAGGAUUAGAUACCCUGGUAGUCCACACCGUAAACGCUGUCUACUAGCUGUUUGUGACUUUAAGUCGUGAGUAGCGAAGCUAACGCGCUAAGUAGACCGCCUGG